UUGCUUUAAGUUUUGUCUCCUUUUAAUAUUUAAUUAGAUACCUUAAGAUUAAAAUAAGCUUAAAACGAAACAGCACAGCAACCCUUUUCUGUUCAUCUUGAGAACACAAAACCCUCUUUUGUUAAAAUUCGGCGCUGCACAAAAUCCUGGCUUAUAUUUUCCAACAAAAUACCACUUCGCAACCCUGGAUUUUCACGAAGCGUUUCAUUCGGGUCAUAGUUUUGCAACUUCGGGCCAUUCGGUGUUGUAUGCCAUAUUGGCUGCCAUAUUGUUCACACUGUCAUCGCCAUAUUGAACACCCUGUCAACUAUCUGUCAACCCUAAGAUAUCUCACUUGUAUUCUUCCAUAAUGCCUGUGAAGUUCU